GCGACGGGAAGUGCAUUCAGAUUGCUAAGCACUGCUCCUACUCAAUUUAUGUCAGGUACGAAAAUGAGUGUUCCAAGUACAUUGUACAUUGUUGCCCAUGAGGAUGUGGAAAGAUGCAGGUUGGUAAGCACAUGACAAAAGAGGUGAUGGAGAACUGUGAAGGGAAGCCUAGACCAGGGUGGGAGGAGGGUGGAAGGACGUUGUGCUUUGUGACCAUUGCAUGUAGAAGGUGAUCAAACCAAACACAAGCCCUCAGGACAGAAUGAUUGGCAUCUCCAGAGGACUUAGCAAUUCGUUUAAAUAUCAAGCUCUUCAGUGUAUAGGUAAUAAUUUUGAUUCUAUGUCCCUUCACAGGAAAAUAUAAUUCAAAAAUACCCAACUGGAAAGGGCUCUCACCACAUGCCUAGCUCAGAGUUCUUUAGUGAACUAUUUAGUAAUUUUCCUUUCCACAUCUGACAAUCACGUUAUUGCUUAACUUCCUGUCCAUCUCUGAUUGCAACGUUGCUCAUUUACAAACAAUAGCCAGAAGAUUUAUCAGACUGGAGAAUCUGAAGGGACUAAGGUCUCUCAUGCUGGGCUCAUGGUCAGGAUAGAGACACAGAACAGAACCAGUGCCUGCAGGAAAAUCUUUCACUUUCACUACCCACCAGCCUUGUUUUCUCUUCUUUUUCUUUUUUCUUUUUCUUUCUGAGGCAGGGUUUUUCUAUGUGGCCCUGGCUAGCCUGGACUCACUACGUAGCUCAGACUGACCUUGGACUUGUGACAAUUCUCCUGUCUCAGUCCUAAGAGUCUUCAGAUUUACCGGUCAUAUAACGACUGUCAUUUUCAAGAGAAUGGAAUAUUUGUUACAUUUUUGAAGUUUUGACAGAAAAACCAAGAGCACUUGGAGUAGGAAAAAGGAGAGAUGACAGCUUAGAGAGCAAAAGGGUUCUGCUGUGGAUGUUUCUGGCUAGGGCUGAAGAAGAUAAUGAUACUGCUUUUCAUACUCAUAAAUGUUUUGAUAUGCAGAAUAUUUAUAUGCAGAAGAGGAGGGAAGGAGGAAAAGUGCUGACAUAAUAAUAAUCAGCUGGCUUAAUUUCCAAGUACCAGUUGAAUGCUGGACGAAUAGCAGAUGGGGGACAGCCGCAUAGACCCCAAGGCAAUGCUUGUGUGAUUUAUGUUGGACCAGUGUGCUUCCCUGACCUGAUAGUGCUGAAUGUGGUCUGUGAACGCUCUCUUGAAGGGAGAGAUCACAAGGGGGAUGGAUGGCUCUGCUCAGAUUUCUGUGAGUCCUACUUCAUCUACAGGUCAAGUGUCUUGCAGGCGAACUUGACUUUGUGUAUCUUUUUAGUAAAAUCCUAUGACUAACGAGUAUGGAGUCAUUUUAUAAUAAGUGUCAGGAGCCCUUGUGAGCUCCCUGUGCACAGCUCUCCAAGCUGGCAAAUCAGAAAGUGAGGUCAUCCAACUUAAAGACUACAGAGACCAUGAGAGCACAUAGAUGUUCACAGAUGUGAUGUGCACCUAUCCCACAGAGGACACGCACGAAACCAAGAGGCGGAGGUUCGGAGAACUUACAGUGCCUAAGUCUCUUGCUAAGGGCAAGCAAUGGGAUCACGUGUGUUACCUGCCAAACACAAUGAGAACUAUCAGGUAGCAAUCAGGCAGCUCAGAGACCACGAGAAAAGUUGAGAUGUCAAUUCAGCAGCAGAGCAGAAGACUAGUAAAAGACCAACUGAUUGAGAAAGGAAGGAUCAAACCAGCAAAGCAAUGUAGGCAAGCUACGUCAAAUGCUACAAUACCUUGAGCAUCAUGAUGCUUUGGAAGGUACCUCUGGCUCAGGAGUGAAUGGUAGGAGCAGUUGCUGGCUGUGUGCCUUGAGUGACCAGGUGCCUUUAUACACAGUCAUCCCCUCCAGCUCCUUCCCUUUCACUUUUGUUUUAACCAUGGAAUUUCCACCAUUUCAACACCUCCCAAAUGACCUCACUUAAACUUCCUUUGUGCUACUGUGUAGAGCUCAUUGAUAGAUGGAGUGCUGAUGAGAGGGAUGCUUUAUAGUAGCCAUAAUCUGAUGAUUCCUCACAGAUAUAAGGGGAAAUUAACUCAAAAUUAAAAGGGGAUGGACUGUCUUAGCCAGAGGCCAUAGGUGAGAAGAGUGUGUUGUCUUUGUUAGGCAUUCUAUUCCUGAAAAGUUAUCAUAAGGAAAUAGCAAGAACGUGCUACAGGAAGAAACAUCGCCAGGACUGCAAGGGCAAGGAGUCAUUCACAGCCUUAUCACUGACUUAUCACUGUCACCAUCCAACCAUGAACCAGCUUCUAGGAAUAAUGCAAACCCCGCUGGCUGUGUCUUAGUGAACUUAGAACCUGUUUAAUGGAAGGACAUUCAUGCCUGGUUCUGUGAACGUAGCCACUAGUGACAUCAUAACCUCAGAGGAGAUAACCCAGAGGUCACUAACGCAGUCACUAAGUAUGCCAUAACCCUAGAGGUCAUGAGCCUACUAGUAGUAGGAGAACCUAACUUCUGCCAUUUUCCUAACCCUAGCUUCAUUCUAAUUAAUUAUCUGCAGACAAGUGUGGCUCUCAGCCCUCAUCAAAGAUGCUUCUUUUUACAGUAGAUGGAGACGACCACCACUAUCUACAAAUGGUCAAAAUGCUAAGUGAGCAUGGGGUGCCCAAUGGUAAUUGGUUUACCAACAAUGAUACCCCUACACUUAAGGCUCAGAGACAGUUGAGAAAGAGGAGAUGGAGAUGCCGUAAGAGCCUGAAAACCAGGGUGCCUGCUGCAAGACAGUUCUGAGGACCAGGGUGCCUGCUGCAAGAUCUUUCUAGAUGUAACAGGAAAGCUACACCCAAGAAAUGUCAGCAACAUGUUUGCCCAAGUGAUAUCUACAUACUAAUGACUCUAACUAACAGGGUAGCAAGGAUCGGGAAACUUCCUAAGAGUCUUGGGAUGAGCUCCUUAAUGUUAUCCAACCAGAAGUGGUCAACUGUAAACACACGAACAUAUAAGUAGCAUUAAUGGGACUCAUUAGGUUAUGUGUGUGUGUGUGUGUGUGUGUGUGUGUGUUAUUCUGUAUGUGUACAUAUGUGUGCACAUGUGUGUGUAAAUAAUAACUAAAGAAGAGGUCAUGAAUUUGUGAGGAAUGGUGGCCAGACUUGCAAGGGGAGAAGAAGGAGGGGGUGGAAAUGUUGUAAAUAAAUAAAGUAAAAUCUCCAAAAAAGGAGGAGAAGGAAGAGGAGAAGGAGGAGGAGGUCUCUAGAACCAGGUGCUCAGGCAGGCAGGAUUCUGGCUCUCUUCAGUCUUCUGGUUCUGACCUGUGUCCUGGCCCUCACAUGUUCCGGAGAAAGAAUACCUUUACGUUUUUGGAGAGGAGACAGACUAGUUAAGAGUCUUGCCUCACUGGAGGCUCCUGGCCCAGGCAGGGAAUUUUCUCAGACCAGCCUCCAGGCUCUGCCUGUAGCUGCAGGUUGGGGGGAGGGGGACGGGACUCAUCUUCCUUCAGCCCCCAAGGUUCCACAUUUUGGGUGCAGAAGGUAAUUCAUUCAUGCAACAACUUGAAAUACCCAAGAUGCAGUGCUUCAAAGAUUUGUGAAGAUUUGCAACUCAAGCCUUCAAGACCUGCCAGCGACAGGAGGUAUGCUAUGCUUGCUAUGCUAUGCUUGCUAUGCUAUGCUUGUUACCCCUGUCAAGGAUCCCUCUGCAGACUCACUCUGCCAGGGAUUGCUAUUGGCUAGCACACCAAAGCCCCUAAGAGCGUUCAAACUGCAAUACUUGCCAACAGUCUGUUGGCUGUCACCCUGAAGCCUGGUGAGAGCACAGGACUGUAACACUUGUAACUUCCGGGCUAGGCACCCUGAGGCCUGUUGAGCUGCAACACUCGCAAUCUUUCUUAAUUUGCACCCUGAAGACGGCCGAGAGCGCAGAGCUGUAGCACCGAGACCGAAUCUUGGUUGGCAUCCUGCCGCCGCGGACCUCAGAGGAACCACUUCUGUGUUUGAGUCUUUACUGUCCUCUUUGAAUUGUUUCAACAUAGCAAAUACAGUUUCCUAAUUUUCCCUUUACCGUCUACUUACUUCAUUAUUAGAAGGUGUGUGAUACAGGAGAACUAACCAUUUCAGCUGGUGAACUGGCUGGAAACUCAACAAAAAUUCAACGGUGGGAACCCAUGGGAAGUCAACAGGAACCAUUGCAAUUAAUGGAACAUUUUUGGAAUGCUGAGAAAAAGGCGGACUUUGCCAUGCUUCUGUUGUUUGGAGCAUUUAUGCUUCUCUAGAACAAAAUACCAGGACUCUGUAAGCGAUUUCAAAGUGAUUGACACAGCUACCGGUUUCCAAUAUCAGAGGUCAGGCUUGCUCUAGUGAGCCCAAUCAACCCCCUGCUAGGGAUGUUGUUCUUUUUUCUUUGUGUUUCCUUUCAUGGAUAUCUGCCACCACUCACGAAGGACUGAGGUUCAUUUUUCAAAUAUCUAAAAUGUUUUGUAAUUAACUUGGUGGAAUUUGUUGACUUGAAUUUGAUGACUCUCAGGGUACUUGGUGAUAUUUUCUCUGGAAAUAUGCUUGAGAGAGACAGAAUGAAGAAUUCCAAGACCGGAUUCUAACCAAUGUACAACCUGCAGAGAGGGAAGACAAUGGAGAAGAAUGUUCUCUCUGCUUCCAAAAAAAGUCAUGUAGAGGACCAUGACCCAUCCCAGCAGAUGGUGUAUUUGGAAAAGGGACAAUGUAAUUAUUUCCAGGUCCUUGAAAGUAACUCUUACUAGAUUAAAAAAUUGGUUUUAGUGGAAAAAUGCUAAUUCUUGACCACUAUUGUUGUCUUAAACACUCAGCAUGAAAGUAUAAAACAAAACAAUUGCAAAGGAAUUUGGGCCUCUGACUUGAAUGUACAUUUCUAC